rnacentral:rRNA from 1 species
GACGAACGCUGGCGGCGUGCCUAACACAUGCAAGUCGAGCGGGAAUUUACAAAUUGAUUCCUUCGGGAUGAUUUUUGUAAAGGAUAGCGGCGGACGGGUGAGUAACGCGUGAGUAACCUGCCCUUAAGAGGGGGAUAACACACCGAAAGGUGUGCUAAUACCGCAUAAUGUGCAUUUAUCGCAUGGUAGAUGUACCAAAGAUUUAUCGCUUAAGGAUGGACUCGCGUCUGAUUAGAUAGUUGGUGAGGUAACGGCUCACCAAGUCGACGAUCAGUAGCCGAACUGAGAGGUUGAUCGGCCACAUUGGGACUGAGACACGGCCCAG